AUUUUUUGGAGAGUUUGAUCCUGGCUCAG
rnacentral:rRNA from 1 species